AGGACGAACGCUGGCGGCGCGCCUAACACAUGCAAGUCGAGCGAGAACCAGGGCUUGCCCUGGGGACAGCGGCGAACGGGUGCGUAACACGUGAGCAACCUGCCCCAAAGACCGGGACAACCCGAGGAAACUCGGACUAAUACCGGAUGCCCUCACCGGGCCGCAUGGUCUGGUGAGGAAAUGGAUUCCGCUUUGGGAUGGGCUCGCGGUCUAUCAGCUUGUUGGUGGGGUAACGGCCUACCAAGGCGACGACGGAUAGCUGGUCUGAGAGGACGAUCAGCCACACUGGGACUGAGACACGGCCCAGACUCCUACGGAGGCAGCAGUGGGGAAUCUUGCGCAAUGGGGGAAACCCUGACGCAGCGACGCCGCGUGGGGGAUGAAGGCCUCGGUUGUAAACCCUUCAGCAGGACGAAGCGAAAGUGACGGUACCUGCAGAAGAAGCGCCGGCUAACUACGUGCCAGCAGCCGC
rnacentral:rRNA from 1 species